GUUCCUGUAGUUCAAUGGAUAGAAUUUUGGUUUCCGGUACCAACGAUGGGGGUUCGAAUCCCUUCAGGAACACGA
rnacentral:tRNA from 1 species